rnacentral:rRNA from 1 species
UGGGGAAUAUUGCGCAAUGGCCGCAAGGCUGACGCAGCGACGCCGCGUGGGGGAUGAAGCAUUUCGGUGUGUAAACCCCUGUUGCUCGGGACGAACAAGCCUUUUCGAGGGCUCUGACGGUACCGAGUGAGGAAGCACCGGCUAACUCCGUGCCAGCAGCCGCGGUAAUACGGAGGGUGCGAGCGUUGUCCGGAAUCACUGGGCGUAAAGGGCGCGUAGGUGGUCUGCUAAGCGUGCGGUGAAAGCCUGGGGCUCAACCCCAGGUCUGCCGUGCGAACUGGUGGACUUGAGCACUGUAGAGGCAGGUGGAAUUCCGGGUGUAGCGGUGGAAUGCGUAGAGAUCCGGAAGAACACCGGUGGCGAAGGCGGCCUGCUGGGCAGUAGC